rnacentral:rRNA from 1 species
UGGAAUUCCACGUUUAGCGGUGAAAUGCGUAGAGAUGUGGAGGAACACCAGUGGCGAAGGCGACUCUCUGGUCUGUAACUGACGCUGAGGAGCGAAAGCGUGGGGAGCGAACAGGAUUAGAUACCCUGGUAGUCCACGCCGUAAACGAUGAGUGCUAAGUGUUAGGGGGUUUCCGCCCCUUAGUGCUGCAGCUAACGCAUUAAGCACUCCGCCUGGGGAGUACGGUCGCAAGACUGAAACUCAAAGGAAUUGACGGGGGCCCGCACAAGCGGUGGAGCAUGUGGUUUAAUUCGAAGCAACGCGAAGAACCUUACCAGGUCUUGACAUCCUCUGACAACCCUAGAGAUAGGGCUUUCCCUUCGGGGACAGAGUGACAGGUGGUGCAUGGUUGUCGUCAGCUCGUGUCGUGAGAUGUUGGGUUAAGUCCCGCAACGAGCGCAACCCUUGAUCUUAGUUGCCAGCAUUUAGUUGGGCACUCUAAGGUGACUGCCGGUGACAAACCGGAGGAAGGUGGGGAUGACGUCAAAUCAUCAUGCCCCUUAUGACCUGGGCUACACACGUGCUACAAUGGACAGAACAAAGGGCUGCGAGACCGCAAGGUUUAGCCAAUCCCAUAAAUCUGUUCUCAGUUCGGAUCGCAGUCUGCAACUCGACUGCGUGAAGCUGGAAUCGCUAGUAAUCGCGGAUCAGCAUGCCGCGGUGAAUACGUUCCC